AUGCUCGCAAGAGUGAACUAGCUAACUGAAAUCAUAAGUGUGUCACUUGUGAUGUCGUAAGGGAAAAUAAUGAUAUUACCUUACUAAUAGUGUCGUCAAAAGCUGGUGCCAGAAGACUCGGUAAGACCAGAGACGCAAACGUUAAUCAUCAUAAACAGGCGUAAAGGGUUUGUAGGCUGCUUUGAAAAUCUUAAUUUAAAUAGCCAAAGUAAAUUAAGACCAAUUAAAGCUAGAAUCAAAUAGAGGUUAUAUUAAAUAAUACUUAGAGGAGAGAUUAAAUCCAUAGAUCCUAAGGAGAAUACUAAGGGCGAAAGCAUUUUACCACUAAUGAUUGACGCUGAGAAACGAAGGUGAGGAUAGGAAAUAGGAUUAGAUACCCCGGUACCCCUCUCUGUCAACGAUGAAUGGUAGUUCCUAGUUAAAAUAACUAGAGGCGAUGUUAACACGUUAACCAUUCCGCCUUGUGAGUACGAUUGCAAAAUUGAAAACAAAAAAAUUAG
rnacentral:rRNA from 1 species